GAACACCACCUGCCCCAUUGAUAAGCAUACACCAUGUACGUAAACUAGGGGCACAAACAGCAAAUGAAGAAAUGCUGUUGAUUUGAUUGACUGAUAGAGUUAAUAUUGGAAGGAAACCAAUUAGGAAUUGAAACAGUGGCGAAAUGAAAUUCUGGGAUUGGUAUCUGAAAAUUGCAGUAGUUUCAGCCAUGAUUGGAGGUUCCAUGGAGUUAUUCAUGAUUAAGACUGGCUUUUAUGAUAAGGUGACUGUUCUAGAGGCAGAAAAGAGAGCCUGGGAGAAUUCUCCUGAAGCCAAGGCUGUCAGAGAAGCUCUUAAUCCAUGGAGACAUCACGACGCUGAAGCAACAAAGGAUUCUUAGCACUUCUGUUAAGCCACUCAAGAAUCUGCCUUGAAGAAUAAUUGGCCCAGCGGAGUGCUUUUUUGAACUUACUCUUAUUCAUAUUUCUCAUGGACGUCGUUGAAGAGCGUGUCAGCUGAUUGUUUCACCAGCUUGGUGGUCACUUCACUUGGCAUGCGAUGAAAAAGUUGUAUGAAGACAAUUGUGCUUAUAAAUGUAAAACUUGUGUGAACCCCUAUUUGUUGUUUUUCUUCUCUUUCUAGACAUUUAGUUCUUUGCUUUCUUGCAUCUGCAUGUUCAAGAGAAACAAUCAGGGAAAAGUGGACUAGAUAGCCAUUUGAGAAAUGUAUUUAUUCCCCUAAGUUUAUGUUUU